rnacentral:lncRNA from 1 species
UUUUUAGUAUUUUAGAUCUCUAUAUGUGUAGAUUAUAUGUUCUAAUGUUACAAAAAAUUUCACGGAAGAGCCAGUAAGUCAUUACAAUGUAAACAUUUGUGAAGCAUCAAUGUCCAAGGAUUAAUGUCGGACGAAGUAUAAUAGCGUUUCUACUGACAGUAGAUGUGGUUGCGCAUGUCUCUGGCAUGUACGUAAGGGAAAUGCAAUAAAGAGUUUUUACUGUCGUGAAAAUCGACAAAUUUUUGUAAAUAUGAAUAUUAUAUUAUUUCUUAUAUUAUUCGAUUUAAUCUUUAAUCGUAUUGAUGUUUAUAUUGUUUCUUUUUUUUUUUGCAUAAAAAUUAUUAAAAAAUUAGAGAAAAAAAUCAUUCGACGGUGUUUCUGCGGCGAUGAAAUAUUUUUUUGAACGAGUAGCAAGCGAAUGGAGAUCGGAGAAGCGAUUGAUAGAGAUUGAAAUGUGCCGAUCAAUGGUCGAUCGAUUUAUAUUUAGGAAAAGAUAUUUUGUUAUAUGAAAUGAAGAGUCGAGGAUGUUAUUAUAACGAUGGAAGUGGGGAAAAAAGCAAUAAAAAAGAAAAAGCAAGAAAAGAAAAAGUAUACAUUAGGUUUUAUCGCGACGUUUCUUGCGAAUUAAAAGAUCGAAUUUCAAUGAUUUUUUUCAAAGCGCCAAUUAAAUGCGGUAUGUCGUUCUGCGCUGUUCCAUUGCGCUUUCGUACAAUGUCGUCGUAUCCGCAAUAUCGAUCUUUAUACGACUCGAUCUGUUCUAUUAAAACUUUAUUUUCAUUUCCUUUUCAAAAGGUGUAUUUGAUAAUUCCGUUAAUAUUAUAAUACGAUUGAAAUGAAAACAAAAAAGAAAAGAAAAUUUUAGAAAUUUGGAUCGUUUCAAAAUCAUUUCGAACGAAAUGUUUCACGAUUGCGAAUCGAUAUUGUCGAAAGUCGAAUGAUCGACGAAUGGUAAAACGUGUUCACAUUUUUUUACACAAUUUUAUAUCUGCCUUGAAUAAUAAUUGCAUCCAUUUAAAUCUUAGCUCUAUUCCGAAUAGACGGAUUCGGAUUGUCGCGAAUUUAAAAAAGAAACGCACAAAUUUACAAGAUAAUGGAGAAACGGGUGCGAUUCUUAAACGGUAGAGAAAUAGAAAUUUUUCACUUUUCAUACUUACAAUUUAUCGCGAAAAGCGGUAAAUAACUCUCGAUUCGUAAUUUGUGAAACUAUAACUUCAUUUAUUGCUCGAUAAUGCGUUAAUAUUCAUUUAAGAAAGAAAAUUGGAAAAAAAUUUUGAAUAAAUGGUAAUCGAUAAAUCUUUUAUUUUUCAAUACAGCGAUUUUCGAUACUUAUAUAUUUGAUCUUCGAUCUUGAGCUCUUUUUUAUCGAGAAUUGAAAGUCUCGAACUCGUGUCGAUAUGGCGCAAAGCAAUUAUACAUAUAUACAUAUACAUAUAUAUAUAUAUAUAUAUAUAAAAGAAGAAAGAUAAGAAUAAAUAAAUAACGCUUUGGCAUAUGACAUCUUUUAAAAAUUCGAUACACAUACCAUUACGAGCAUUAUGUUAUCUAAACGAAUAUUAACACGCGUUAAUACUAUCAUGAUAACCUUCGUUUAUUUGGUUCUAAUGUAAUAGUUAUUAUUAGUUCGCCAUCCUUUGUAUAUAUAUUCGCAACUCUCAAUAAAAAAAAAAAAAAAAAACAUAUGAAAAAAAGAAAAGAAACGCAUUAUCUCUGUCAUUGUGAUUAAUUUCCUCGUAUUGCAAAAAACUAACCUAACCUUUCAAACUGAUCAACGAUCAUCGCACGUAAGGAAUUCGAAAGGAGAAGGCGAAAGGAAAGAAUCCAAUACAAGAAAUAUAUUUUUGCAAUUUAUUUGCAAUUUAUUUAUAUAAUUAAUGUAACUGAUUUUGAAUAACUAUUACUAAAAACCUAAACAACGUAUGAAAUUUUAUACAUAGUUUUUAUUUAAGGAUACUAAUAUGUGGCUAUAUACAGUGUAUGGAUGCGUUGAACCACGAAUCAAGUUCAACUUUGUUUUGAUAAUAUGAUACGUCUAGUGUUUACCCUCGAAAGACGGUUUACACGUUUGAAAGGAUGAUUGAAUUUCUCUUUGUAUAUCAUUUCCACGUUUGUUCUAUUAUUUUUUUUUUUUUUCCUUUUUUGCUGUGUUUAGAAAUUGGUACAAACAUUUACAAU